GCCUGGGUGGCUCAGUCGGUUGAGCGUCCGACUUCAGCUCGGGUCAUGAUCUCACAGUCUGUGAGUUCGAGCCCCACGUCGGGCU
rnacentral:tRNA from 1 species